UGGCUUAGAAGCAGCCAUCAUUUAAAGAAAGCGUAAUAGCUCACUGGUCGAGUCGGCCUGCGCGGAAGAUGUAACGGGGCUAAACCAUGCACCGAAGCUGCGGCAGCGACGUUUAGGCGUUGUUGGGUAGGGGAGCGUUCUGUAAGCCGUUGAAGGUGGCCUGUGAGGGUUGCUGGAGGUAUCAGAAGUGCGAAUGCUGACAUAAGUAACGAUAAAGCGGGUG
rnacentral:rRNA from 1 species